CCUUAAUAAAGCAUCUCAAGCCCCAAUGCGAAGCUGCCACGUGGAGCUUUCUCAUAGGGUGGUGAAAAACCAUGCGCCAACUCUCCCAAAUAAGGAGUUGUUUGUCACAGACCACAGCAGAGCCAGCGCCAUCUUGUAAUGGCGACCAUAGUCUGCAGAAACGGCAGAAGCGGCUCACCACAGAAUGAGAUGGACAUCAUUACACUAGGUACAUGUACAGUUGCAUGAAUGGUGCGUCGCUACACCGUGUACAACCACCAGAGAACUGAAAUGUUGCACUCCAUUUGUGUAUGAUGAAUUGAAAUACAUUCUGCUGUCAUUAAAAACUAAGUGAAAUAAAAUAAUAAAAAUUAUCCUCUGAAAGUUGACAUGAUCUUCAUUGACAAGUGGUCAACUAAUUGCAGAUAAUUUUUGCAAGAUACUAAAUAACCAAAUUACUAAUAUUAUUACAAUUCAUGUAAUCUAUACAGUAGUGUAAAUAUUGAAUUACUACUAAAACACCGUAUCUCUUCUCUGUUCCUUU
rnacentral:lncRNA from 1 species